GGGGCUGAGCGGAGCCGCUCCGCGCAAACGCGCUCCGCCGCCACCCGCGCUGCCGGGCAAACGCAGCCCGCUUCUACAGAGUGCGCCUCGUCCGGACUCGCCGAACGCUCCGGAUACUUCGGAUCCGCCGCUCGCCCGAGGGAGGAGAAGGUUUCUCAUGAGAGAAGCUCACAGAAAACUAAAACAACCAUGGGCAAAAUGGCAACUACUCUUUUUCUGGAAAGAAAAAAAAUUAAAAACAGACAUCAAAAAGACGGCAGGAAGGAUGGGAGUGAGGAGAGAUGAGUUCAAGUUGAGCAGAAGAAAAAAGAAAACUACAACAAAACAUUCAGAACUAAGCAUGGUUAAAAACUAA
rnacentral:lncRNA from 1 species